AAUUAUAUUUUUUCUGUAAAGCAAAUCAUUUGGAAUAAUGAACGAUACAAGGUGAAAGUCCCGUAGUUUUAGAAAAAAAAAUAUGUCGAAAGAUUUCCCGAGUAGCUUGGGACAUGUGAAAUCCCGAGUGAAUCCGCGAGAACCAUCUCGUAAGACUAAAUACUCCUAAAUAACCGAUAGAGAAUAGUACCGUGAGGGAAAGGUGAAAAGAACCCUGAGUUGGGAGUGAAAUAGACCAUGAAAUCAAAAGCUUACAAGCAGUAGGAGGUAUAUAAAAUACUGACUGCGUGCCUGUUGAAGAAUGUGCCUGCGAAUUAUAAAAGAUGGCUUGGUUAAUACGCUACGCGUUGAAGCCUAAGUGAAAGCGAGCUUGAAGAGAGCGAUUGUCAGCUUUUAUAGACCCGAACCCAGGUGAUCUAACCAAGGCCAGAAUGAAGCUUCAGUAAAAUGAAGUAGAGGUUCGAACUCACUGAUGUUGAAAAAUCAGGAGAUGAGCUUUGGUUAGCGGAGAAAUUCCAAUCGAACUUGGAGCUAGCUGGUUCUCCCCGAAAUGUGUUUUGGUACAGCCUUUCAUUAAGAACUAAUCAGGGGUAAAGCACUGUGUUGGUGCGGGCUGUGAAAACGGUACCAAAUCAAUGCAAACUCUGAAUACUGAUUAUGAAUACAAUGAUCGAGUGAGACUGUGGGGGAUAAGCUUCAUAGUCAAAAGGGAAACAGCCCAGACCAUCAGUUAAGGCCCCUAAAUAAUAACUAAGUGGAAAAAGAGGUGAAAAUGCUUAAACAACCAGGAGGUUUGCUUAGAAGCAGCCAUCCUUUAAAGAGUGCGUAAUAGCUCACUGGUCAAGUGAUUCCGCGCCGACAAUGUAGCGGGGCUCAAGUACACCGCCGAAGUUGUGGCAUUGCACCAAUGAUACCCAACCGGGCCUCGCGCCCGGUUCAGGUGGUGCGAUGGGUAGGGGAGCGUCGUGUGGGCAGUGAAGCUGCGGGGUGACCCAGUGGUGGAGCCCACACGAGUGAGAAUGCAGGCAUGAGUAGCGAAUGACGGGUGAGAAACCCGUCCGCCGGAUGAUCAAGGGUUCCAGGGUCAAGCUAAUCUGCCCUGGGUCAGUCGGGACCUAAGGCGAGGCCGACAGGCGUAGUCGAUGGACAACGGGUUGAUAUUCCCGUACCGGCGAAGAACCGCCCCUAUCGAACCGGGGACACUAACCACCCGAACCGCACCAGGUGCCGGCCAUUGGCCGUCGCCGGUGUCGGGGAGCGUGGGACCUGAACCGGGGAGGUAAGCGUAUUAACAGGUGUGACGCAGGAAGGUAGCCGAGCCGGGCGAUGGUAGACCCGGUCUAAGCGUGUAGGGCGAUCCGUUGGCAAAUCCGCGGAUCACAGGGCCUGAGACGUGACGGGACCCCCAUCCGUGGGGGGAUUCGGUGAUCCUAUGCUGCCGAGAAAAGCAUCGACGCGAGGUUCCAGCCGCCCGUACCCCAAACCGACACAGGUGAUCAGGUAGAGAAUACUAAGGCGAUCGAGAGAAUCAUGGUUAAGGAACUCGGCAAAAUGCCCCCGUAACUUCGGGAGAAGGGGGGCCCCGACCGUGGACCGGACGUGCUCCGGCGAGCGGGUAAGGGCCGCAGAGACCAGGGGGAAGCGACUGUUUAUCAAAAACACAGGUCCGUGCGAAGUCGCAAGACGAGGUAUACGGACUGACUCCUGCCCGGUGCUGGAAGGUUAAGAGGACCUGUUAGCCUCACGGCGAAGCGGAGAAUUUAAGCCCCAGUAAACGGCGGUGGUAACUAUAACCAUCCUAAGGUAGCGAAAUUCCUUGUCGGGUAAGUUCCGACCUGCACGAAUGGAGUAACGACUUCCCCGCUGUCUCAACCAUGAACUCGGCGAAAUUGCAGUACGAGUAAAGAUGCUCGUUACGCGCAGCAGGACGGAAAGACCCCGAGACCUUUACUAUAGUUUGGUAUUGGUGUUCGGUGUGGCUUGUGUAGGAUAGGUGGGAGACGGUGAAGCGGGCACGCCAGUGCACGUGGAGUCAACGUUGAAAUACCACUCUGGUCACUCUGGACAUCUAACUUCGGCCCGUGAUCCGGGUCAGGGACAGUGCCUGAUGGGUAGUUUAACUGGGGCGGUUGCCUCCUAAAGAGUAACGGAGGCGCCCAAAGGUUCCCUCAGCCUGGUUGGCAAUCAGGUGUCGAGUGUAAGUGCACAAGGGAGCUUGACUGUGAGAGCGACAGCUCGAGCAGGGACGAAAGUCGGGACUAGUGAUCCGGCGGUACAUUGUGGAAUGGCCGUCGCUCAACGGAUAAAAGGUACCUCGGGGAUAACAGGCUGAUCUUGCCCAAGAGUCCAUAUCGACGGCAUGGUUUGGCACCUCGAUGUCGGCUCGUCGCAUCCUGGGGCUGGAGUUGGUCCCAAGGGUUGGGCUGUUCGCCCAUUAAAGCGGUACGCGAGCUGGGUUCAGAACGUCGUGAGACAGUUCGGUCCCUAUCCGCUGCGCGCGCAGGAAAUUUGAGAAGACCUGUCCUUAGUACGAGAGGACCGGGACGGACGAACCUCUGGUAUGGCAGUUGUACCGCCAGGUGCACCGCUGCUUCGCUACGUUCGGAAGAGAUAACCGCUGAAAGCAUCUAAGCGGGAAGCUCGCUUCGAGAUGAGAUUUCCACGCACCCUCGGGUGCGAGAGGCCCCCAGCUAGACCACUGGGUUGAUAGGCCGGAGGUGGAAGCACGAACCAACGACGUGUGCAGCCGACCGGUACUAAUAAGCCGACA
rnacentral:rRNA from 13 species